AAGAUAUUCAUUAAAAUAGAAGUAUCCUUUUCUUCUUCUUUUUAUAAAUAUAUUCAACUUUCAGAUUUCAAAGGUGAUCAUGAAACAAGAGAAAUCCAACAUAUCAUUGAUGAGUAUAGAAUGCAAGUAAAAACAAUUUUCAUUAGGCUUUGAGGCACAAGUUAUUUCGAAGUCAAAGGUGAAGCGAAAACUUGUAUACAAAGUUAAAGCCUAUUCCAAAUUAUGAGUGUCAUAAAAAAAAUAAAUUUGCUAUUGGUAGAAAUAUGUUUCAAUCAAAUUAUUCAAGCAUGAAGCAUUUCAAACUGAAUAUUGAAAACAUAUAAUUCAAAGUAUGCAAAACAUAACAAGCAUGUCAUGGAUCAAAAUCAAUUCUUUUCGAAUAAAAUUUCCUUUAUUUAAAUACAAUUUAGCACUGAUUUUAUCCUUAAGGUGUGUUUUCAAGUGAUUGAAACUUCAUUUGAUUUUUACAACCUUCUUAUAUAUAUUUUCAUUUAUUUAUCAUUCAUUCCCCAAAUUUUUAAUUUCUUUCUUUAACCAUUCAAUGAGCAUUUUGAUUAUCUUCAUUUAUUUUUCGGUUUUACUUUUCUAUGCUCUAUAUUCUAUUUGCUCUCUAUCCGGUGGAGUUGGAAGGGGCACGAGGUACUACCACUAGCCUCCCUCUUGUGCCGUCCCUAAUAUGCCCUACACCGAAUAGUUGGGUCAAAUAGUGCCGGGUACUACCACUAGCCUCCCCAUUGACACCAUCCCUAUGAUGAGCAAUAUAGAAGGGUUAAAAUGUUCACUUCAAAUUUUUCUUGUAAUUAAUUACGGAUUUUAUCUCUUCCAAAGGAAUGUUCAUAUUAGUCUUACAAAUGUGCCAAAUAUAUUAUGCUUGUUUUGCUUUUCCUAAAGAUUGGAGCAUUUGCCUUUACUUAGAUUUUACUUUCCUUGAAUAAUUGUUCAUUUUCUUUUCUUUAUCUCUUCCUCUUUUUGUUAUUCUCAAGUAAUUUACAUGAAAGAGCAGAAUAAAGAAUUAAUCUAAN
rnacentral:lncRNA from 1 species